rnacentral:tRNA from 1 species
GCGCCAUGGCUUAGUGUAAAGCUCCUGUCUAGUAAACAGAAGAUCCUGGGUUCGAUUCCCAGUGGUGACU